GUGCUUAUUGUGGUUGCACAUAUACUAAAAUCAGAAAGAUACAGAGAUUAGCAUCGCUGAUGAGCAAGAAUGACAUUCGAAUUUGGCUUGUUUUGUUUUUUUUU